CUACAUGCUGCAGAUGUCAGACAAGGCCCUGGAGGAGUUCAACCUGAAGAAGUACAACACAUCAGAGGAGGGACGACGGAGACUGAUCCCAGCUGUGAGGAACUGCAGGAAGGCUCGAGUUCUUUCUGGCUGUGGACUCUCUGAUUCUCACUGUGAAGUGAUCUCC